rnacentral:misc_RNA from 1 species
AGUAUUUUGCGAAGCUCGGUUGACGUCGAUAAGCGUGCGUUGACGCUCCGGCGAGAUACUGAACGCCAACGCGAGCUCCGGAGGAAUCAACAGCUGAGACAAAGGGGUGAGAUCGUCGGCAGUAGGUAGGCCAAUCUCCCACUCUGCAACUCUCUCUACAUCUCCGUUGGUAUCCUCCCCGUUCGGUUCGUACUCACCGAUCUUCACUUCCUCCCCCA